UCUCAAUGUUUUGAUGUUAUACAAAGUUUCGUAAUAAUGAAUUAUAUAUACUCUAAUUUUUAUUAUAGGUACUUGGGAACUUGCCCUAAAACACCUUAAAAAGGCAGAAGAAACGUCAAAUAUGGAAAGUGACACAGACACAAGUUAUCACCAUAGGGCAGCAAAAUACAGAAGAAUACCAAAUGAUGUGGAUGGAGACAGUGAAGAUUCACCACCAAGAAAAGUAACUGUUUCCAUGCCCCGAAAGACUGCCGAGUGUAAGCUGACUCUAGAUGAACAU